AGGAUUAACGCUGGCGGCGUGCCCGACACAUGCAAGUCGAACGAGGUCGCAAGACCGAGUGGCGGACGGGUGAGUAACACGUGACCAACCUACCCCGAAGUCUGGGAUAGCCCUGCGAAAGCAGGGGUAAUACCGAAUGUGGCCCGGAGCGGACAUCCGCACCGGUCUAAAGAUUUAUCGCUUCGAGACGGGGUCGCGGCCUAUUAGCUUGUUGGUGGGUAACGGCCUACCAAGGCGAUGAUGGGUAGCUGGUCUGAGAGGACGACCAGCCACACUGGGACUGAGACACGGCCCAGACUCCUACGGGCGGCAGC
rnacentral:rRNA from 1 species